rnacentral:rRNA from 1 species
AAUCAACGCUGGCGGCGUGCCUCAGACAUGCAAGUCGAACGAUUAAAGCUCUCUUCGGAGAGUGUAUAGAGUGGCGCACGGGUGAGUAACACGUAAGUAAUCUACCCUCGAGUGGGGAAUAACGUCCGGAAACGGACGCUAAUACCGCAUAAUGCAGCGGCACCGCAAGGUGACAGUUGUUAAAGGAGAAAUUCGCUUGAGGAGGAGCUUGCGGCAGAUAGCUUGUUGGUAAGGUAACGGCUUACCAAGGCUACGAUCUGUAACCGGUCUUAGAGGACGGUCGGUCACACUGACACUGAAUAACGGGUCAGACUCCUACGGGAGGCAGCAGUCGGGAAUUUUGGGCAAUGGGCGAAAGCCUGACCCAGCAACGCCGCGUGAAGGAUGAAGUAAUUUCGGUAU